UAUGUGUGCAGCCUUCACAGUGUUUGUAUGGACUUUAGGGGGGGGGCACAUCACCUCUGCAUCAUAAUAUGAAAGCACAAAACUAGAUAAAAGCUCUUCAUUAAAGGCACAGUUCACUUCCUUGGACACUCUCUGAUCACAAAAGCACAAAACUGCGUGAACAAUGCUACUGGCAACUCCACAUACUACUAUUAGCUCCUUUUCAUGGUGUGGUCCCUAUGUGUGCGCGGCGGGCGGAGAGGCUCGCGGACAAACAGAGUGUGACAGGUCCGCUCAGCCGAGCCGGGAUAGAGGGUCACGCCUACAGCAGCGCUCGAGACAAGGUGGUGCUUGUCCUCGGGGCCUUGAAGGCUGCUGCUGCCCGCCCGCCGGUGAGUUUAUCUGCCAGCACAGUGGCCGAGCACUCUCUUCCAUGGACUCCAACUGAAGAUUAAUUACACAGCAGAGGUGAGGGGAAAAAACAAAGGCCAAUCCAUCUGUGUCAGGGCAAGUGGACAGCCCCACGGCGCAGCGGGUGAAAGCACUGGCAAUGCCAUCUAUCACGGGGUCGGCUACAGCACAAACACAAGGUCAGGGUGCUCCUUGUCCCCAAGCAGCAGUGUGGUAGCCCCACUUGCACCCCAGAGCCCUUAUUUGGCCCCAAGGCCCCCUUCUUCUUCUAGCUAUAGUCCUUAGCACAGCAGUAGGUGAGGCUAACCAGUUGCCACACCACAGGGAAAACCAGUAGCGGGCUUCUCCGUGGUAGCAGGCAACUGACAGCAUACUAUCAGUCCUGGCCCACAGACUGAUGAUAGCUGAGGAAAUUGCUAAGGAGUAGAAGCCAUUUACUGCCUGUGAUUUAUUUAGCUUUGGUGCUGUUGCUACCCAUAGACAGGCAGGCUUUUAUAAAGCCACCACAGCAAGCAUGACAGGCCAGGGUCGAACACGCGCUGUCUGCAUAAUGGGAGACUCUGUGAAGCUGCUCUAUAGCAUGUUAGGCCAGUCGGUUAAUGAUAGCGGCACCUGAUUCC